rnacentral:misc_RNA from 1 species
GAUUACUACUCAUGUCCUGAGGGAAAUACUUGCUGCUGUAUUUAUGAAUACAGUGGCUUUUGCUUUGGAUGGGGAUGCUGCCCACUGGAGUCUGCAACCUGCUGUGAUGACCAUUACAGCUGCUGCCCUCAUGAGUAUCCCAUCUGUGACCUUGAAGCUGGAACCUGCCGAAUGAGCAAGGAGAAUCCAUUGAGCAUAAAAGCAAUGCGACGAGAUCCUGCAAAAAGAACCCACCAUGGUGGUAACACGGCUUUCGGCAGGAUCUAUUAGGGUCUGGGCGACAUUGAAGUGAAGAAGGUGCAAUGGGGCAGCGUUUCAUGCUUGAUGACCUAGCCAUCUGCAGAGGAGCUUAGGUUACAGAGAAAGCUUCUUUCAUUGCACAGACAGAAUAUGUGCAUCAGACCCUAUUUAAACCGUUAAGGAAUGUUUAUUGCUUUUCAGUUUCUUGGUGA